rnacentral:rRNA from 1 species
GGACGAACGCUGGCGGCGUGCUUAACACAUGCAAGUCGAACGCUGAAGCUCAGCUUUUGUUGGGUGGAUGAGUGGCGAACGGGUGAGUAACACGUGAGUAACCUGCCUCCUUCUUUGGGAUAACGCCCGGAAACGGGUGCUAAUACUGGAUAUUCACUGGUCUUCGCAUGGGGGUUGGUGGGAAGGGUUUUUCUGGUGGGGGAUGGGCUCGCGGCCUAUCAGCUUGUUGGUGGGGUGAUGGCCUACCAAGGCUUUGACGGGUAGCCGGCCUGAGAGGGUGACCGGUCACAUUGGGACUGAGAUACGGCCCAGACUCCUACGGGAGGCAGCAGUGGGGAAUAUUGCACAAUGGGCGCAAGCCUGAUGCAGCGACGCCGCGGGAGGGAUGGAGGCCUUCGGGUUGUGAACCUCUUUCGCUCAUGGUCAAGCCGCAACAAUGGUUGUGGUGAGGGUAGUGGGUAAAGAAGCGCCGGCUAACUACGUG